rnacentral:rRNA from 1 species
GUGGGGAAUCUUAGACAAUGGGGGAAACCCUGAUCUAGCCAUGCCGCGUGAGCGAUGAAGGCCUUAGGGUUGUAAAGCUCUUUCAGCUGGGAAGAUAAUGACGGUACCAGCAGAAGAAGCCCCGGCUAACUCCGUGCCAGCAGCCGCGGUAAUACGGAGGGGGCUAGCGUUGUUCGGAAUUACUGGGCGUAAAGCGCGCGUAGGCGGACCAGAAAGUUGGAGGUGAAAUCCCAGGGCUCAACCUUGGAACUGCCUUCAAAACUCCUGGUCUGGAGUUCGAGAGAGGUGAGUGGAAUUCCGAGUGUAGAGGUGAAAUUCGUAGAUAUUCGGAGGAACACCAGUGGCGAAGGCGGCUCACUGGCUCAAUACUGACGCUGAGGUGCGAAAGCGUGGGGAGCAAACAGGAUUAGAUACCCUAGUAGUCC